rnacentral:lncRNA from 1 species
CCUCUCUGUGCCCACCACCCCCAGGCUGAGAGUCCCCAAAGCCAAGCACCACUGUAGUCCCCCCACUCAGCGAUGACCGCCCCAACCCCCACUCCACCUGCCAGGCCUACCUUGGCUCUCCUUCCUCUCCAUGGCUGUCAUCUUCCUCCUCGCUGCCGCUGUACUCAUAUUCUGUCUCCUCUGCAGGGGGAGGCCACUGCAGUUAUCUCACCCAGCGCCCCAGACCCGCCGUGGGCUAGGGAAACCUUGGGUGGGGAUAACCAGGUCUCUCUGGCUGGGCAAGCAUGAGGGGCCCCACCCACUUCCUGGGGGCAAUGGGAG